rnacentral:rRNA from 1 species
ACGCUCGACACCUACUGGAGGCAGCAGUCGGGAAUAUUGCGCAAUGGAGGAAACUCUGACGCAGUGACGCCGCGUAUGGGAAGAAGGUUUUCGGAUUGUAAACCAUUUUAGACAAGGAAGAAAGAAGACAGUACUUGUAGAAUAAGCUCCGGCUAACUACGUGCCAGCAGCCGCGGUAAUCUGAGCGGGCUGGCAAGGC